UACAUGGGGUGCAAACGUUGCUCGGAAUUAUUGGGCGUAAAGCGCACGUAGGCGGUUUGUUAAGUCGGAUGUGAAAUCCCUCGGCUCAACUGAGGAAGUGCAUCCGAAACUGGCAGGCUUGAGUACUAAAGAGGGUCGCGGAAUUCCCGGUGUAGAGGUGAAAUUCGUAGAUAUCGGGAGGAACACCGGUGGCGAAGGCGGCGACCUGGGUAGAUACUGACGCUGAGGUGCGAAAGCUAGGGGAGCAAACAGG
rnacentral:rRNA from 1 species